rnacentral:rRNA from 1 species
CGGACGGGUGAGUAACGCGUGAGAAUCUACCAAAAGGACUGGGACAACCACUGGAAACGGUGGCUAAUACCGGAUGAGCCGAAAAGUAAAAAGGGAAACCUGCCUUUUGAAGAGCUCGCGUCUGAUUAGCUAGUUGGUGAGGUAAGAGCUCACCAAGGCAGCGAUCAGUAGCUGGUCUGAGAGGAUGACCAGCCACACUGGGACUGAGACACGGCCCAGACUCCUACGGGAGGCAGCAGUGGGGAAUUUUCCGCAAUGGGCGAAAGCCUGACGGAGCAAGACCGCGUGAGGGAAGAAGGCUCUUGGGUCGUAAACCUCUUUUAUCAGGGAAGAAAAAAAUGACGGUACCUGAAGAAUCAGCCUCGGCUAACUCCGUGCCAGCAGCCGCGGUAAUACGGAGGAGGCAAGCGUUAUCCGGAAUUAUUGGGCGUAAAGCGUCCGCAGGUGGCUUAUCAAGUCUGCUGUCAAAGAGUGGGGCUUAACCCCAUAAAGGCAGUGGAAACUGGGAAGCUAGAGUGCCGUAGGGGUAGAGGGAAUUCCCGGUGUAGCGGUGAAAUGCGUAGAGAUCGGGAAGAACAUCGGUGGCGAAAGCGCUCUACUGGACGGCAACUGACACUCAGGGACGAAAGCUAGGGGAGCGAAUGGGAUUAGAUACCCCAGUAGUC